UCCGGUAUAGUGUAAUGGUUAACAUACCUCCCUCUCUCGGGAGACGCUCGGGGUUCGAUUCCCUGUGCCGGAU
rnacentral:tRNA from 1 species